rnacentral:lncRNA from 1 species
ACUGUUUCCAUUUUUGUUGGAAUUUGCAUUGCUUUAUUUGACCACUUAAUGGACUAUUUGUAAAUGUUUAUUCGCUUGUGAUUAUAGACUAGUUUGACGGCAGAUUGGAGGAAAUGAAGGAUUUCUAAAAGGUGAUAUUUGGAAGUUAAUUUAGGGAGGCUACUGCGGUGAAGGGCUGUAGCCUAGGACUUGGCCCAGCCAUGAUGUACAUGUAGUUUCAACACACUUUAUACCUGUGUUUAAGUUACAUGAGGAAGUUAUUAAGAGAAGAUGAUGGAGCAAGGAGUGACCAAUGAUUGGGCAGCAUUAGUGGAGAGCACAGAACCUGAGUUUGGGUGUGACCUACUAUGAUGCGUUGUGCUGGGUAUGGCCGUGGAAUAAGGCUGGGAAGCCCUUUGUUCUCUAUGCGAAGCGGGCUCAAGAGAGAUCAAGGUCCAUUGAGGACCCAAGUGACAGCCACUCUGACAGUAAUAUGGAGCAAGAACAGUGGAUGGAGAAAACAGCAGAUUUGGGAAGGCCUCCUUGCCAGGUGAAUGUACUGCCAUGGCUGCCUACAUGAACGUUAAAGCUGGCUGGCGUCAUGGUGCGAGUGGACAGACCGAUGUAAUCUCUAUAAAGUGAAGAGACAGGUUAUGUCAUAAGUAGCACAGACUUCCUCAUAUGAAAGCUGUGGGUAUGCCCCAGGAGAAGCAGACCAUGAUGCUGAUGAGAAGAGCGCCCUCGCUUCCUUCAAACUGGAGAGAAAUCGAAGGAAGAUGGAGGACAAGAUCCGAUGGGUCUUCACUUCAUGAGAAUGUCAAGGAGAGGAAGUAACUCAGAUAGA